rnacentral:rRNA from 1 species
UACGGAGGGUGCAAGCGUUGUCCGGAUUUAUUGGGUUUAAAGGGUGCGUAGGCGGGUCUUUAAGUCAGGGGUGAAAUCCUGGAGCUCAACUCCAGAACUGCCUUUGAUACUGAGGAUCUUGAGUUCGGGAGAGGUGAGUGGAACUCCGAGUGUAGAGGUGAAAUUCGUAGAUAUUCGGAAGAACACCAGUGGCGAAGGCGGCUCACUGGCCCGGUACUGACGCUGAGGUGCGAAAGCGUGGGGAGCAAACAGG